GGGAAACUCCCAGGCCCCGCUGUAGAGGGACCGUCAGCGGCCGGGCCAGAAAGAAUGAGGUCCCCA
rfam:Echinops telfairi cont1.557044, whole genome shotgun sequence.